rnacentral:rRNA from 1 species
CCUACGGGUGGCUGCAGUGGGGAAUAUUGGACAAUGGGGGCAACCCUGAUCCAGCCAUGCCGCGUGUGUGAAGAAGGCCCUCGGGUUGUAAAGCACUUUCAGUGAGGAAGAACGCCUGGUGGUUAAUACCCAUCAGGAAAGACAUCACUCACAGAAGAAGCACCGGCUAACUCCGUGCCAGCAGCCGCGGUAAUACGGAGGGUGCGAGCGUUAAUCGGAAUUACUGGGCGUAAAGCGCGCGUAGGUGGCUUGAUAAGCCGGUUGUGAAAGCCCCGGGCUCAACCUGGGAACGGCAUCCGGAACUGUCAAGCUAGAGUGCAGGAGAGGAAGGUAGAAUUCCCGGUGUAGCGGUGAAAUGCGUAGAGAUCGGGAAGAAUACCAGUGGCGAAGGCGGCCUUCUGGACUGACACUGACGCUGAGGUGCGAAAGCGUGGGUAGCAAACAGGAUUAGAUACCCUAGUAGUC